CCUACGGGUGGCAGCAGUGAGGAAUAUUGGUCAAUGGCCGUAAGGCUGAUCCAGCCAAGUAGCGUGAGGGAAGACUGCCCUAUGGGUUGUAAACCCCUUUUAUGCGGGGAUAAAGGUGAACACGUGUGGCUGUUUGAAGGUACCGCACGAAUAAGGACAGGCUAAUUCCGUGCCAGCCGCCGCGGUAAUACGGUAGGUCCGGGCGUUAUCCGGAUUUGUUGGGUUUAAAGGGAGCGUAGGCCGGUCUUUAAGCGUGCCGUGAAAUUUUGUGGCUCAACCUUGAGAGUGCGGCUCGUACUGGAGACCUGGAGUGCGCUGAAGGCAGGCGGAAUUCGAGGUGUAGCGGUGAAAUGCUUAGAGAUCACGAAGAACCCCGAUUGCGAAGGCAGCCUGCCGCAGCAAUACUGACGCUGAAGCUCGAAAGCGCGGGGAUCGAACAGGAUUAGAUACCCGAGUAGUC
rnacentral:rRNA from 1 species